AGAGUUUGAUCAUGGCUCAGGAUGAACGCUGGCGGUCUGCCUAACACAUGCAAGUCGAACGAAGUCUUCGGACUGAGUGGCGGACGGGUGAGUAACGCGUGAGAAUCUGGUCUCAGGAGGGGGACAACAGUGGGAAACUGCUGCUAAUCCCCCAUGUGCCGCAAGGUGAAACGGGAUACCGCCUGAGAAUGAGCUCGCGUCGGAUUAGCUAGUUGGUAGGGUAAAAGCCUACCAAGGCGACGAUCCGUAGCUGGUCUGAGAGGAUGAGCAGCCACACUGGGACUGAGACACGGCCCAGACUCCUACGGGAGGCAGCAGUGGGGAAUUUUCCGCAAUGGGCGAAAGCCUGACGGAGCAAGACCGCGUGGGGGGAGGAAGGCUCUUGGGGUUGUAAACCCCUUUUCUCAGGGAAGAAAAAAAUGACGGUACCUGAGGAAUCAGCCUCGGCUAACUCCGUGCCAGCAGCCGCGGUAAUACGGAGGAGGCAAGCGUUAUCCCGGAAUCAUUGGGCGUAAGCGUCCGCAGUGCUAAUCAGUCCGCGGUUAAGACCGGAGCUCACUCCGAAAAGCCGUAGAAACUGAGAGCUAGAGUCGUAGGGGUAGCGGAAUUCCCAGUGUAGCGUGAAUGCGUAGAGAUUGGGAAGAACAUCGUGCGAAAGCGCGCUACUGGGCCGAAACUGACGCUGAGGGACGAAAGCUAGGGGAGCGAAAGGGAUUAGAUACCCCUGUAGUCCUAGCCGUAAACGAUGGAUACUAGGCGUGGCUUGUAUCGACCCGAGCCGUGCCGAAGCUAACGCGUUAAGUAUCCCGCCUGGGGAGUACGCACGCAAGUAUGAAACUCAAAGGAAUUGACGGGGGCCCGCACAAGCGGUGGAGUAUGUGGUUUAAUUCGAUGCAACGCGAAGAACCUUACCAGGGCUUGACAUGUCGCGAACCCCGGUGAAAGCUGGGGGUGCCUUCGGGAGCGCGAACACAGGUGGUGCAUGGCUGUCGUCUGCUCGUGUCGUGAGAUGUUGGGUUAAGUCCCGCAACGAGCGCAACCCUCGUCCUUAGUUGCCAGCACGUAAGGGUGGGAACUCUAGGGAGACUGCCGGUGACAAACCGGAGGAAGGUGGGGAUGACGUCAAGUCAUCAUGCCCCUUACGUCCUGGGCAACACACGUACUACAAUGGUUGGGACAAAGGGCAGCGAACCCGCGAGGGGGUGCGAAUCCCAGCAAACCCAGCCUCAGUUCAGAUCGCAGGCUGCAACUCGCCUGCGUGAAGGAGGAAUCGCUAGUAAUCGCCGGUCAGCAUACGGCGGUGAAUUCGUUCCCGGGCCUUGUACACACCGCCCGUCACACCAUGGAAGCUGGCCACGCCCGAAGUCGUUACUCUAACCCGUAAGGGAGGAGGGCGCCGAAGGCAGGGCUAGUGACUGGGGUGAAGUCGUAACAAGGUAACC
rnacentral:rRNA from 1 species